rnacentral:rRNA from 1 species
CAAUAGCGUAUAUUAAAGUUGUUGCAGUUAAAAAGCUCGUAGUUGGAUUUCUGGUGGGAGCGAUCGGUCUGGCGCUUAGCGCGAGUACUUGCAUCGUCUCCGGCCAUCCUUGGGGAGAGUCUGUCUGGCAUUAGGUUGUCGGGCAGAGGAUCCUCAUCGUUUACUGUGAAAAAAUUAGAGUGUUCAAAGCAGGCUUAUGCCGUUGAAUAUAUUAGCAUGGAAUAAUAAGAUAGGACUUUGGUGGUCUAUUUUGUUGGUUUGCACGCCAAAGUAAUGAUUAAUAGGGAUAGUUGGGGGUAUUCGUAUUCAAUUGUCAGAGGUGAAAUUCUUGGAUUUAUGGAAGACGAACUACUGCGAAAGCAUUUACCAAGGAUGUUUUCAUUAA